GGGUUGUGAGGUUAAGCGACUAAGCGUACACGGUGGAUGCCCUGGCAGUCAGAGGCGAUGAAGGGCGUGCUAAUCUGCGAUAAGCGCCGGUAAGGUGAUAUGAACCGUUAUAACCGGCGAUACCCGAAUGGGGAAACCCAGUGUGAUUCGUCACACUAUCAUUAACUGAAUCCAUAGGUUAAUGAGGCGAACCGGGGGAACUGAAACAUCUAAGUACCCCGAGGAAAAGAAAUCAACCGAGAUUCCCCCAGUAGCGGCGAGCGAACGGGGAGGAGCCCAGAGCCUGAAUCAGCAUGUGUGUUAGUGGAAGCGUCUGGAAAGGCGCGCGAUACAGGGU
rnacentral:rRNA from 2 species